UGAUAUUUACAAUUGAUAUUGCUAUAUUUGUUAUGCAGUGCAUCCUUUAAAUAAGCUACCAUAUUCUAAGCUAGACUCGAAGGCCAUUGGGAUAAAGAAUGGCGUAAUUUUUGUAACUUACAGCAGCUUGAUAGCAUCAUCCGAGAGAGGCCGUUCUCGUUUGCAGCAACUAGUCCAAUGGUGUGGACAUGAGUUUGAUGGUCUCAUAGUGUUCGAUGAGUGCCACAAGGCCAAAAAUCUGAUUCCUGAUGCAGGGAGCCAGCCCACCCGCACUGGUAAAGCAGUUCUUGAGAUCCAGGAAAAGUUACCUGAGGCCCGUGUUGUUUACUGCUCAGCAACUGGUGCAUCAGAACCACGGAAUUUGGGCUAUAUGGUUCGACUCGGACUCUGGGGGGACGGAACAUCAUUUCAGGAUUUUCCGCAAUUUUUAGGUGCUCUUGAGAAAGGUGGUGUGGGUGCCCUUGAACUUGUUGCCAUGGACAUGAAAGCUAGGGGUAUGUAUGUCUGUCGUACACUAAGUUAUAAGGGGGCAGAUUUUGAUACUGUGGAGGCUCCUCUUGAGGAAAGAAUGACGG